ACUAAGGGAAUCCACCGGAUGACUCUGCAAAGAGAAGUAGCUGUGCCAGAAACGCAGGUCCCUGGGUGAAAUGGCCGCAUAGUUGGCCUCAGACAGUUCUAAACUGGAUCAGAGUCCUUUCUUGUCUGAAAAUCAAUCAACCCCGGAAGGACUACAGGGAGAAAGAAAGAAUUGGAAAGCAAAAAAAAAAUACAACUACUUCGGAAAUGACGGUCAUCUUUAAGCUAUCAACGAAAGGGCACUCCAAGAGACGACGCACUGUUGAAAAGAAACGAGAGAAAGAAAGAAACUCCGAGGACGAAAAACGACUGUGGACCAAGCUUUGUCUCAGUUACCUCGCCCCCCUAGGGGUGCUUAUUCACAGAGAAAACGAUGUUGACGGAAUGAAUUUCCUCCGGAUAAUGCUCCAGGGGCAUCCCGGCACUCUGAUCCCAUUCCCUGAAUGAACCAGAGGGCCGGGACGAAACAAUUUACAAAUGAGCUCAGCCCUCCAGCAGGGCAAAGAGAUUAAGCACGGGCCACCUAGUCUCCAUGGUGAAACCUAUCUGUUGGCUCGUGCUCCGAGCCUCGUUAUGUCCGCGGCACACUGAUGCCUUUUCCUUUCACGGGCCCCUGCCUCCCUCUCUUUGUUCCUGGGUCACCGCUGUGCAAAUGCAACACUUGUUAGUCACAGUGGAGCAGCGGGUGCUGCAGGUCAAA